rnacentral:rRNA from 1 species
UCAAGCGAACAAGGGCGCAGGGCGAAUGCCUUGGCACUGGGAGCCGAUGAAAGACGUGAUAAGCUGCGAUAAGCUUCGGGGAGCUGCAAAUAAGCAUUGAUCCGGAGAUUUCUGAAUGAGGAAACUCACCUGGGUUCAUACUCAGGUACAAUACACUGAAAUUCAAAAUAGGUGUAUUGAGGGAACCGCCUGAACUGAAACAUCUAAGUAGGGCGAGGAAGAGACAUCAAACGAGAUUCCGUAAGUAGUGGCGAGCGAACGCGGAAGAGGGCAAACCGAGAGUAGAAAUACUUUCGGGGUACGGACUGCUUUUAAGACUCAAUCUGUUAACCGAACGGCAUGGGAAGGCCGGUCAGAGAGUGUGAGAACCACGUAGGUGAAAACGGAAAGAGCUGCGCAGGAUCCAGAGUACGGCCAGACACGUGAAACCUGGUCGGAAUACGGGGGGACCACCCUCCAACCCUAAAUACUACCCAGUGACCGAUAGCGUAUAGUACUGUGAAGGAAAGGUGAAAAGCACCCCGGGAGGGGAGUGAAAUAGAACCUGAAACCCUGUGCCUACAAGCACCUAGAGCGCGUCAAAGCGUGAUAGGGUACUUUUUGUAGAACGGUCCGGCGAGCGAUUGUAUGCAGCAAGGUUAAGGACUUAAGGUCUGGAGCCGAAGCGAAAGCGAGUUUGAAAAGGGCGUUAAGUUGCAUAUAAUGGGCCCGAAACCGGGUGACCUACCCAUGGUCAGGUUGAAGUGGAAGUAAAAUUCCAUGGAGGACCGAACCGACCUCCGUUGAAAAGGCGGCGGAUGAACUGUGGGUAGCGGAGAAAUUCCAAUCGAACCCGGAGAUAGCUGGUUCUCCCCGAAAUAGUUUUAGGACUAGCCUCAAGUUAGAUACCUGGAGGUAAAGCACUGAAUAGCCUAGCGGCCGAGAGGUUAGCGAAGCUUAUCAAACUCAGAAUGCCAGAGUAUUGAUGCUUGGGAGUCAGACAGUGUCAGAUAAAUGUCAUUGUCAAAAGGGAAACAGCCCAGAUCUACAGCUAAGGUCCCAAAGUCAGGUUAAGUGGAAAACGAUGUGAAGAUACGCAGACAACCAGGAUGUUGGCUCAGAAGCAGCCACUCAUUCAAAGAGUGCGUAAUAGCUCACUGGUCGAGCGUCUUUGCGCGGAGAAUUUAACGGGGCUAAACCUGACACCGAAGCUUAGGCAAUACAGCAAUGUAUUGGGUAGGGGAGCGUUGUAUACGCGGAGAAACAGUAGCGCAAGCGGCUGUGGAGUGUAUAGAAGUGAGAAUGCCGGAAUGAGUAGCGCGAAUGCAGUGAGAAUCUGCAUGGCCGAAAGCCUCAGGUUUCUGGAGGAAGGUUCGUCCGCUCCAGGUUAGUCGGGAGCUAAGGUGAGGCCGGAAGGCGUAGCCGAUGCACAGACGGUAGAGAUUCCGUCACCACCAAAAGAGUUAAGCACAGGGACACAUAUGAAGUCUCAGAGCCGGGUGUUGGUUCCGGUAGAGAUCGAGGGAAAUUAGUACCGAAGUCUGAGAUGGAAGAUGGCGAGAAAAGCUGUGUGUAUUUCUGAGGUGCCCGUACCGCAAACCGACACAGGUAGGUAGGAAGAAGAUUCUAAGGCCAACGGGAGAAGGGUUGUUAAGGAACUCGGCAAAUUGACCCCGUAACUUCGGGAGAAGGGGUGCUCCAGAGAUGGAGCCGCAGAGAAUCGGCCCAAGCAACUGUUUACCAAAAACACAGGUUUGUGCUAAAUCGAAAGAUGACGUAUACGAGCUGACGCCUGCCCGGUGCUGGAAGGUUAAGAGGAGAUGUGCAAGCAUUGAAUCGAAGCCCCAGUGAACGGCGGCCGUAACUAUAACGGUCCUAAGGUAGCGAAAUUCCUUGUCAGGUAAGUUCUGACCCGCAUGAAAGGCGUAAUGAUUUGGGCACUGUCUCAACAGCCCGCCCGGCGAAAUUGUAGUACCGGUGAAGAUGCCGGUUACCCGCGACAAGACGGAAAGACCCCAUGGAGCUUUACUGUAGCCUAAUAUUGGGUUUCGAUGUUGCAUGCACAGGAUAGAUGGGACUCUUGGAAACCAAGGCUUUGGCUUUGGCGGAGAGGCCGUUGGGAUACCAUCCUUGCGAUAUUGGAAUUCUAACCUGCGGCUCUGAAUCGAGUCGGGGGACAUUGUUAGGUGGGCAGUUUGACUGGGGCGGUCGCCUCCUAAAGAGUAACGGAGGCGUUCAAAGGUUCGCUCAGCUUGAACGGAAAUCAAGCAAAAGAGUGCAAACGCAGAAGCGAGCCUAACUGCGAGACUGACGGGUCGAGCAGUAACGAAAGUUGGAGUUAGUGAUCCGGUGGUAUGUGAGUGGAAAUGCCAUCGCUCAACGGAUAAAAGUUACCCUGGGGAUAACAGGCUGAUCUCCCCCAAGAGUCCACAUCGACGGGGAGGUUUGGCACCUCGAUGUCGGCUCAUCGCAUCCUGGGGCUGUAUUCGGUCCCAAGGGUUUGGCUGUUCGCCAAUUAAAGCGGUACGCGAGCUGGGUUCAGAACGUCGUGAGACAGUUCGGUCCCUAUCUGUCGUGGGCGCAGGAUAUUUGAUGGGAGCUGUCCCUAGUACGAGAGGACCGGGACGGACGUACCUCUGGCGCACCAGUUGUUCCGCCAGGAGCAUAGCUGGGCAACUACGUACGGAUCGGAUAAACGCUGAAAGCAUCUAAGCGUGAAGCCGACCCAAAGAUAAGAUAUCCCACUGAUUUGAUCAGGUAAGAUCCCUUGUAGACUACGAGGUUGAUAGGCACGAUGUGUAAGUGGAGUGAUCCAUUCAGCAAGUGUGUACUAAUAGAUCGAGGGCUUGACCAC